AACGAACGCUGGCGGCAGGCUUAACACAUGCAAGUCGAACGCGUGUAGCAAUACACGAGUGGCGCACGGGUGAGUAACGCGUGGAUAUCUGCCUUUUGGUUCGGAAUAACCCCGGGAAACUGGGGCUAAUACCGGAUGGUUCCUUCGGGAUAAAGAUUUAUCGCCAAAAGAAGAGUCCGCGUCCGAUUAGCUAGUUGGUGAGGUAAUGGCUCACCAAGGCGACGAUCGGUAGCUGGUCUGAGAGGACGAUCAGCCACACUGGGACUGAGACACGGCCCAGACUCCUACGGGAGGCAGCAGUGGGGAAUAUUGGACAAUGGGGGCAACCCUGAUCCAGCCAUGCCGCGUGGGUGAUGAAGGCCUUCGGGUUGUAAAGCUCUUUUGGCGGGGACGAUGAUGACGGUACCCGCAGAAUAAGCCCCGGCUAACUUCGUGCCAGCCGCCGCCGUAA
rnacentral:rRNA from 1 species